AAUUAUUCUACGUAGAUUAAAUUUAUGAAUUUUUAGGAAUGACGUCAUUAGAUUUGUAGAGUAGCGCCACCGCACGGCGGAAUUUAAAAAUAUCUAUGUUGGCGUUGUCAGUUUUAAAAAC